rnacentral:rRNA from 1 species
UACGAAGGGGGCUAGCGUUGCUCGGAAUUACUGGGCGUAAAGCGCACGUAGGCGGCUUUCUAAGUCGGGGGUGAAAUCCUGGAGCUCAACUCCAGAACUGCCUUCGAUACUGGAGAGCUUGAGUCCGGGAGAGGUGAGUGGAACUGCGAGUGUAGAGGUGAAAUUCAUAGAUAUUCGCAAGAACACCAGUGGCGAAGGCGGCUCACUGGCCCGGUACUGACGCUGAGGUGCGAAAGCG